rnacentral:rRNA from 1 species
ACCAGACUCCUACGGGAGGCAGCAGUGGGGAAUAUUGCACAAUGGGGGAAACCCUGAUGCAGCGACGCCGCGUGAGUGAAGAAGUAUUUCGGUAUGUAAAGCUCUAUCAGCAGGGAAGAAAUAGCGACCUUUGGGUCGCCAGACGGUACCUGAUUAAGAAGCCCCGGCUAACUACGUGCCAGCAGCCGCGGUAAUACGUAGGGGGCAAGCGUUAUCCGGAUUUACUGGGUGUAAAGGGAGCGUAGACGGCAGCGCAAGUCUGAAGUGAAAGCCCGGGGCCCAACCCCGGAACUGCUCUGGAAACUGUGCGGCUAGAGUACUGGAGGGGCAGGCGGAAUUCCUAGUGUAGCGGUGAAAUGCGUAGAUAUUAGGAGGAACACCAGUGGCGAAGGCGGCCUGCUGGACAGUAACUGACGUUGAGGCUCGAAAGCGUGGGGAGCAAACAGGAUUAGAUACCCCAGUA